CGCGGGAUGGUGUAAUGGUAACAUGCUGGACCCAUUCUCCGGCGCUCCGAGGUUCAAGUCCCGGCCCCGCAA
rnacentral:tRNA from 1 species